rnacentral:miRNA from 1 species
UUUUUUUAGGUUUUGAUU